rnacentral:rRNA from 1 species
AUACGUAGGGUGCGAGCGUUAAUCGGAAUUACUGGGCGUAAAGCGUGCGCAGGCGGUUGUGCAAGUCUGAUGUGAAAGCCCCGGGCUUAACCUGGGAACGGCAUUGGAGACUGCACGACUAGAGUACGUCAGAGGGGGGUAGAAUUCCACGUGUAGCAGUGAAAUGCGUAGAGAUGUGGAGGAAUACCGAUGGCGAAGGCAGCCCCCUGGGAUGAUACUGACGCUCAUGCACGAAAGCGUGGGGAGCAAACAGGAUUAGAUACCCUGGUAGUCCACGCCCUAAACGAUGUCAAUUAGCUGUUGGGGGUUUGAAUCCUUGGUAGCGUAGCUAACGCGUGAAAUUGACCGCCUGGGGAGUACGGCCGCAAGGUUAA